rnacentral:rRNA from 1 species
AACGAACGCUGGCGGCAGGCUUAACACAUGCAAGUCGAGCGCCCCGCAAGGGGUGCGGCAGACGGGUGAGUAACGCGUGGGAAUCUACCCAUCUCUACGGAAUAACGCAUGGAAACGUGUGCUAAUACCGUAUACGUCCUUCGGGAGAAAGAUUUAUCGGAGAUGGAUGAGCCCGCGUUGGAUUAGCUAGUUGGUGGGGUAAAGGCCUACCAAGGCGACGAUCCAUAGCUGGUCUGAGAGGAUGAUCAGCCACACUGGGACUGAGACACGGCCCAGACUCCUACGGGAGGCAGCAGUGGGGAAUAUUGGACAAUGGGCGCAAGCCUGAUCCAGCCAUGCCGCGUGAGUGAUGAAGGCCCUAGGGUUGUAAAGCUCUUUCACCGGUGAAGACAAUGACGGUAACCGGAGAAGAAGCCCCGGCUAACUUCGUGCCAGCCGCCGCCGUAAUAC